rnacentral:rRNA from 1 species
GACGAACGCUGGCGGCGUGCCUGACACAUGCAAGUCGGACGGUCCGUGAUUGAUCAAGCUUGCUUGAUUGGUUGUGGAUAGUGGCGGACGGGUGAGUAACGCGUGAACACCUACCCAUUGGAGGGGUACAACCCGUCGAAAGGCGGGCUAAUACCGCGUAAGCCGAGAGGUGAAAGGCUGCUUUUAUGGUGGCUGCCGAUGGAUGGGUUCGCGUCCUAUCAGCUAGUUGGUGGGGUAACGGCCUACCAAGGCUAAGACGGGUAGCCGGUCUGAGAGGAUGGCCGGCCACACUGGAACUGAGACACGGUCCAGACUCCUACGGGAGGCAGCAGUGGGGAAUAUUGGGGCAAUGGGGGAGACCCUGACCCAGCGACGCCGCGUGAGGGAAGAAGGUUUUCGGAUCGUAAACCUCUGUUGUACGGGAAGAAGGAAUUGACGGUACCGUACGAGUAAGCCCCGGCAAACUACGUGCCAGCAGCCGCGGUAAGAGUCACGUCG